rnacentral:rRNA from 1 species
UCGGGAAUUUUGGGCAAUGGGCGAAAGCCUGAUCCAGCCAUGCCGCGUGGGUGAUGAAGGCCUUAGGGUUGUAAAGCCCUUUCGGCGGGGAAGAUAAUGACGGUACCCGCAGAAGAAGCCCCGGCUAACUUCGUGCCAGCAGCCGCGGUAAUACGAAGGGGGCUAGCGUUGCUCGGAAUUACUGGGCGUAAAGCGCACGUAGGCGGCUUGUUAAGUCGGGGGUGAAAUCCCGGAGCUCAACUCCGGAACUGCCUUCGAUACUGGCAAGCUCGAGUCCGGGAGAGGUGAGUGGAACUGCGAGUGUAGAGGUGAAAUUCGUAGAUAUUCGCAAGAACACCAGUGGCGAAGGCGGCUCACUGACCCGGUACUGACGCUGAGGUGCGAAAGCGUGGGGAGCAAACA